GACGAACGCUGGCGGCGUGCUUAACACAUGCAAGUCGAACGGAAAGGCCCUGCUUUUGUGGGGUGCUCGAGUGGCGAACGGGUGAGUAACACGUGAGUAACCUGCCCUUGACUUUGGGAUAACUUCAGGAAACUGGGGCUAAUAACGGAUAGGAGCUCCUGCUGCAUGGUGGGGGUUGGAAAGUUUCGGCGGUUGGGGAUGGACUCGCGGCUUAUCAGCUUGUUGGUGGGGUAGUGGCUUACCAAGGCUUUGACGGGUAGCCGGCCUGGGAGGGUGACCGGCCACAUUGGGACUGAGGUACGGCCCAGACUCCUACGGGAGGCAGCAGUGGGGAAUAUUGCACAAUGGGCGGAAGCCUGAUGCAGCAACGCCGCGUGCGGGAUGACGGCCUUCGGGUUGUAAACCGCUUUCGCCUGUGACGAAGCGUGAGUGACGGUAAUGGGUAAAGAAGCACCGGCUAACUACGUG
rnacentral:rRNA from 1 species